AGACCUAUUUCAAUAUACCAAAAAAAUUCAAGAACUAAAAGAGUAAUCCCUGCCCGCUCUCCCUCUCUUUCCUCCCUCUCCUCUUCCAUCUCGUCUUCUCUGGCAAUGAGGAGCUCCAGCCAGCAGCCAGUAAAGACCCUGCCCACCCCGCAACAGUUGGCACAACCCUCCCUUGGUGUUGAACGGCGACGAUUCUCUAGGAAAAGGAGAACACACGUUAAAUGCGAGAACAUUAGGCUACAAUUCAGGCCACCUUUGGUAGCGUUCCGGUAAGGGAAAUGGAGAAAACACCUCAACACCUCAUGGGAUUCAUUUUCCAACCAGCCAAUGCCCCAAACUGACGCUCAGAGAGAGAGAGAUUCGAGGAGAGAGAAACUCUUGGGUUUUGUCACUUUUCUGCGAGAUUUCGGCCAAUUUGACCAUUGGAUCAGAAAUUUGAGAUCACCGUUGAACUCAGAGCGACGAAACCUUUGAAAUAGGACUAACCUUGCUCCGAUCGGAUACCAUUUGAAAAAGGUGAUCAUCAGACGGUUUAGAUUGUUUGGUGUAAUCGGAUCGACGAUAGCUCACCGACACUUGUGAUUGAGUUUUCAGCCCUGUCUAAGUGUAUAAUUGGCUAUUCUGUUAAGUGGUCAUGUUUACAAUCGUUCCUAGCAUUUUCAGACAUUUCGGACGAGUUCUAGAUAGCAGAAUUUACAAAGUCACGGCUUGAGCUAGUCUCGUUGGAACUUGGUCCUUGUGGAUAUGAAAAGACUGGGUGAGCACGACUUUGAGUUGAUAUCGCUGGCCUCUGCACUUGGAUUAUUAAGCGAAAGUUCGACUUGAGUUGAUAUUGCUGGCAUGUAUUGGAUUAAGAAAAUUGUAUAGGGGUGCAUGAGUAGCUCUAAAUUGUCUUCUCGUGUGAAUAUCGAAUAAAUUAUUAUUAUAUAUGAUAGAUGUGCAUUUCAUGGUAGGAUUGUAGUAGUUUUAGAUAGCUAUAGAUAUUGAAUCUAUAACCAAUAUCUAGACUUUCUGAGUUGAAUACUCAUUUUUGUUCAAAUAUUUUUUCCCAGAUUGUAGGAUGAGUGAGUUUAUUUUUCAAGUUUAACCUACAUUUUUCUUUGCAGGUUAUGUUUCUUAAUUCAAUAGUUUUUAUUGUAUCUAUUUAUUUGUUUAUUUAUUUAUCUAUUUAUUUAAUUACUAAAACUUUGCUAUGAUACUAGUUUAUGAAUAUAUUGUAUUAA